UUUCAGUGAUUGGACGACCAGAGCGUGACUCAUCUUUCACAUCAAUCGAGAGAUAUGGAAUAGUUCCCAACAAAAGUUGUUGAGAACUAACUCUACUCCGUAAGUUCAAUAACAUUUUCUUUUUUAGGAAAAAAUCCAUCAUGGAUACCCCAGACCCUCGGGAAAGAGCUUGAGGUUAUGUAGAACUCCUACCGGCUAAAACCUCCCUGGGUGGCGCUGCGAAGGGACUUACCUCGGGCCCCGGAGCCACGUAACUGCAAUCGGGGCCCCGAGUCCAGACGUCGUCAUUUAUCCAUGAGGGGUUGGGGGAGGAGGGAGACCGAACCGAAGCUCCUCCUCAACCAUCCUUCUGCUCUCCCUCCAUCCCUCAUGCCCCGUCUGUAGUGCUGGAAAAGGGGAGACCGACCGAGGUCGAUCUUCAACCGUCGUUCCCAGCCAGACGAGGCGCCGCCUCGAAUGUUGUGCGACGAGCUAGGCCACCGCCACCUUGUCGCUCCCUCGUUAGGAGGGCUGGAUGGGAUCCCGGGAGUCCCCGCCUGGAACCCCACCCUCCUCCACGGCGGUUACGCGGGGAAAAAGUCUCCUAGCCGCCGGGGUCUCUCGCUUGAUAGGCGAGGGGAUCGUACAAUCCCCUCUUCAGGCCCACUCUAAGGUGGGCUGAUAGAUAGGGGGGAAGUGGUUUUAUAUUGACAAGUGUCACCUUAUUCUCCCCCCCUUUGCUGUCAUCCAGCUCCCGUUAUGGGGGGCAAUUGGGCGGCCCCCUGUCUUGGAAUGUCAGAUGGUGGUGGUCUCAGCACCGGUGGUAGGGGAGGAACAUUUCUACUUCUGUUUCUUUCUCCAGGCCUGGCCGGUGCUCCCGGUGACAAAAACUGGCCGGUUUUGGGCCCUCCUCCUAGGUGGUGGUGGAGGUUGUGGUGGGGGACCCAUCAUCGCCCUCACCAUCCUAUCCUUAUUCGAGGAGUCUACGUCGUUGUCGCCGUCGUCCCCACUUCCCGGCCUGUGCCGCUGGGGAUGGGAGUGGCGGCACUGGUGACGCCCUCUCGGUCCUCUCUCCCUUCUUAUUUCGGCAUCUUCCUUCACUUUCGUUACUGAGGAGCAAAAGGCUGAGAAGGCGUCCCAUUUUUUUUCGCUCCCCAGAACACUUAGAAAAAUUCGAGCAAUUUCUUUUGGCUGCGACAGUCCCAAUUUUAUGCCAACAAUAGCAAAUUGUUGGCUUUAUUUUUUGAGAUAUGACGAAGCUACGUCCAAUGCAACAUUCUUCAUUCCAACCUCAUUUUUCUUCUUCUAAGUGUUCUUCAAGGACUCAAAAAUUCUGUGUUGAUUGUCAAGUCUAUCAAUGCUCGAAAUGUUUUCAGAUUUUUCAUAAGUAAGCUGCAUGAGUUUUCAUAAAUAAAUAUCUCUAAAUUCUCCAAAAAAGUAUAAAAAUAAUAAAAAAAUAUAAAAAAAAUAAAAAAAAAUAGAAAAAGACUCUCACAGAUGUCGACUUCCUUGUGGUAAGAGUCGAGCAACGGCGAUGUAAUUAUCGACGGCUAACAACAGAGAGAAACCUAAAGGCCAUCACACAUAAAAUUCCAUAAGAACAUAAGACGUAAGUGUAAAGAAAUCGACCAAUCUCAAUGUAAUAUUCAGCUCUUCGUAACCCCUCGACUUUUGUCCGUAAAACAUAAAACGUAACGUCGAAAAAUUCAGUAAGGAUGAAAUUUUUAUGGCUACGUCUUGUGGACAACCAAUCACAACUGAUCAGACUAUACACUUUAGUUUGACAUUUGAAGCGAAGCUAGUAAGGUUAGAUGUAUUUAAAUAGCAUUUGUCGCAGUGAGAUAAGUGAGGUGAAAUGAGUGAUCACAAUAAAUAUUGUAAUAUGUUUAAUAACUCGGAAAAUGAUGAACUGCUUAUUGAUACGGUAAGAGCAUACCCACAUCUUUAUAACCACCAAAAUCGUAAUUUUAAAGACCAUUUGAUGAAAGAAAAUUCGUGGAAAGAAAUAGCCUUAGCAGUAAACAGUUCAGUUUCGGAUUGUCAAAACGUUGGAUAAGACUCCGUGAAAGAUCGGUAAAGAAAAACGGUAAAGGGAGUUGGAUUCAAGGAGUGACAGUGCAGUCAACGAAGUGGCUUUAUAUAUUACGAAAAUAGGUCAUUUCUAAAUGACCAUAUCAAAAGAAGGAAGUCUUAUACGAAUGUUUCAAGUGUGGAGCGUAUAAAGACAAUAGAUGUCCCAGCUAAUAAGCCUGACACACACAUCUCACCAACGAGUUCUCUGUUAACAAAUAAAAAAGACAAUCAAAUCAAUCUUCCAAUGGACAGUGAAACUAUGGAAAAUACGGAAUCCUCAAUCUUCAAGAUCGCCUCACAACUCUAAUGCAGGAGAUGAAGUACCAUUGGAACCUUCUGUGCAACCGUGUACAAACUUCUCAACACGAUUUAAAAACAUUUCCUUGCCAGACACUGGCUCUGCUGCAUCAUCAAUGAAUUCACUCGGAAAUGAUCACUCAAGUUCAAGUACUUCACCCAAAUGUUGUCCAAAUACACCUAGUAUUCUUGAUGAAUCUGAAGAAUCUACAUUGUUUUUAACAAGAGAGUCAACACCUUCUACAGCAUUUAAAAGUUUGCAAGCUACGCCAAUGUCACGACAACCACCAUAUAAGAAAAAAGAUAACUCGGGCGCAUUGGAGAGUUCUCUAGUUUUACUUUGUCAAACUAUGCACCAACGUCUCUAGAAUAAUCGUAAUUCCGAAAUUACUGGUUCCUCGGAAGAAACUUUUGCAAGGUUAAUCGCGAAUCAAUUAGAAAAGUUACCAUCAUAUGAAAAAUAUGAACGCCAGCAAGCAAUUAUGCAAAUUUUGUAUGAACCUUAUAUAAUUCUUGAAGACGAAAAUGAUAGCAAAGUUACGAAACAUUUUUAUAUU